rnacentral:rRNA from 1 species
AACGAACGCUGGCGGCAUGCCUAACACAUGCAAGUCGAACGAGACCUUCGGGUCUAGUGGCGCACGGGUGCGUAACGCGUGGGAACCUGCCCUUAGGUUCGGAAUAACUCCCCGAAAGGGGUGCUAAUACCGGAUAAUGUCUUCGGACCAAAGAUUUAUCGCCUUUGGAUGGGCCCGCGUUGGAUUAGCUAGUUGGUAGGGUAAAAGCCUACCAAGGCGACGAUCCAUAGCUGGUCUGAGAGGAUGAUCAGCCACACUGGGACUGAGACACGGCCCAGACUCCUACGGGGGGCAGCAGUGGGGAAUAUUGGACAAUGGGCGAAAGCCUGAUCCAGCAAUGCCGCGUGGGUGAUGAAGGCCUUGGGGUUGUAAAGCUCUUUACCCGGGAUGAUAAUGACAGUACCGGGAGAAUAAGCUCCGGCUAACUCCGUG